AACGCGAAGAACCUUACCAAGGCUUGACAUCCUGCUGACGAAGCAGAAAUGCAUUAGGUGCCCUUCGGGGAAAGUAGAGACAGGUGGUGCAUGGUUGUCGUCAGCUCGUGUCGUGAGAUGUUGGGUUAAGUCCCGCAACGAGCGCAACCCUUACGGUUAGUUGCUACGCGAGAGCACUCUAGCCGGACUGCCGUUGACAAAACGGAGGAAGGUGGGGACGACGUCAAAUCAUCAUGCCCCUUACGUCCUGGGCUACACACGUACUACAAUGGCGGUCAUACAACGGGUUGCGACCUGGCGACAGGAAGCUAAUCUCUAAAAAGCCGUCUCAGUUCGGAUUGCAGGCUGAAACCCGCCUGCAUGAAGUCGGAAUUGCUAGUAAUCGCGGAUCAGCAUGCCGCGGUGAAUACGUUCCCGGGUCUUGUACACACCG
rnacentral:rRNA from 1 species